UUAGGUGUUGUUGGGUAGGGGAGCGUUCUGUAAGCCUGCGAAGGUGGCCUGUGAGGGUUGCUGGAGGUAUCAGAAGUGCGAAUGCUGACAUAAGUAACGAUAAAGCGGGUGAAAAGCCCGCUCGCCGGAAGACCAAGGGUUCCUGUCCAACGUUAAUCGGGGCAGGGUGAGUCGACCCCUAAGGCGAGGCCGAAAGGCGUAGUCGAUGGGAAACGGGUUAAUAUUCCCGUACUUGGUGUUACUGCGAAGGGGGGACGGAGAAGGCUAUGUUGGCCGGGCGACGGUUGUCCCGGUUUAAGCGUGUAGGUGUGUGUUCCAGGUAAAUCCGGUUCACUUUAACACUGAGGCGUGAUGACGAGGCACUACGGUGCUGAAGUAACAAAUGCCCUGCUUCCAGGAAAAGCCUCUAAGCAUCAGGUAACACGAAAUCGUACCCCAAACCGACACAGGUGGUCAGGUAGAGAAUACCAAGGCGCUUGAGAGAACUCGGGUGAAGGAACUAGGCAAAAUGGUGCCGUAACUUCGGGAGAAGGCACGCUGACACGUAGGUGAAGUGAUUUACUCACGGAGCUGAAGUCAGUCGAAGAUACCAGCUGGCUGCAACUGUUUAUUAAAAACACAGCACUGUGCAAACACGAAAGUGGACGUAUACGGUGUGACGCCUGCCCGGUGCCGGAAGGUUAAUUGAUGGGGUCAGCGCAAGCGAAGCUCCUGAUCGAAGCCCCGGUAAACGGCGGCCGUAACUAUAACGGUCCUAAGGUAGCGAAAUUCCUUGUCGGGUAAGUUCCGACCUGCACGAAUGGCGUAAUGAUGGCCAGGCUGUCUCCACCCGAGACUCAGUGAAAUUGAACUCGCUGUGAAGAUGCAGUGUACCCGCGGCAAGACGGAAAGACCCCGUGAACCUUUACUAUAGCUUGACACUGAACAUUGAGCCUUGAUGUGUAGGAUAGGUGGGAGGCUUUGAAGCGUGGACGCCAGUCUGCGUGGAGCCGGCCUUGAAAUACCACCCUUUAAUGUUUGAUGUUCUAACGUGGACCCGUGAUCCGGGUUGCGGACAGUGUCUGGUGGGUAGUUUGACUGGGGCGGUCUCCUCCUAAAGAGUAACGGAGGAGCACGAAGGUUGGCUAAUCCUGGUCGGACAUCAGGAGGUUAGUGCAAUGGCAUAAGCCAGCUUGACUGCGAGCGUGACGGCGCGAGCAGGUGCGAAAGCAGGUCAUAGUGAUCCGGUGGUUCUGAAUGGAAGGGCCAUCGCUCAACGGAUAAAAGGUACUCCGGGGAUAACAGGCUGAUACCGCCCAAGAGUUCAUAUCGACGGCGGUGUUUGGCACCUCGAUGUCGGCUCAUCACAUCCUGGGGCUGAAGUAGGUCCCAAGGGUAUGGCUGUUCGCCAUUUAAAGUGGUACGCGAGCUGGGUUUAGAACGUCGUGAGACAGUUCGGUCCCUAUCUGCCGUGGGCGCUGGAGAACUGAGGGGGGCUGCUCCUAGUACGAGAGGACCGGAGUGGACGCAUCACUGGUGUUCGGGUUGUCAUGCCAAUGGCACUGCCCGGUAGCUAAAUGCGGAAGAGAUAAGUGCUGAAAGCAUCUAAGCACGAAACUUGCCCCGAGAUGAGUUCUCCCUGAGACUACGAGUCUCCUGAAGGAACGUU
rnacentral:rRNA from 1 species